UGUGUGAGUGUUGUGCUUUGGCGUGUUGCGUUCACUAACUAACUAACUAGUUAACAAAUGAGUUAAUUUAUCUUGAGUAUUACAUUUCAUUGAUUAGGGUUUAGUUCAAAUGCUGUUCUUAAGGUUAGGUGUACAACGUGAUUGUGAUACUCAAUGAAGAUCUUGAUUAAGUUGCUUGUGGCGAUUAUGUUUAGCAGUUGUGAUUAGUAGUUAAUUAAUACUUAGUUAGUU